rnacentral:rRNA from 1 species
GAUGAACGCUAGCGACAGGCCUAACACAUGCAAGUCGAGGGGUAACAGAUAUAAAGCUUGCUUUAUAUGCUGACGACCGGCGCACGGGUGAGUAACACGUAUGCAACCUACCUUUUACAGGAGAAUAACCCAGAGAAAUUUGGACUAAUACUCCAUAAUGUUUUUGUAUCGCAUGAUAUGAGAAUUAAAGUUCCGGCGGUAAAAGAUGGGCAUGCGUCCUAUUAGUUAGUUGGUAAGGUAACGGCUUACCAAGGCUAUGAUAGGUAGGGGUUCUGAGAGGAUAAUCCCCCACAUUGGUACUGAGACACGGACCAAACUCCUACGGGAGGCAGCAGUGAGGAAUAUUGGUCAAUGGCCGCAAGGCUGAACCAGCCAUGUCGCGUGAAGGAUGACUGCCCUAUGGGUUGUAAACUUCUUUUGUAUGGGAAGAAAGGUAUCUACGUGUAGAUAUUUGCCGGUACCAUACGAAUAAGGAUCGGCUAACUCCG